rnacentral:rRNA from 1 species
UAGCUAGUUGGUAGGGUAAAGGCCUACCAAGGCGACGAUCGGUAGCUGGUCUGAGAGGAUGACCAGCCACACUGGAACUGAGACGCGGUCCAGACUCCUACGGGAGGCAGCAGUGGGGAAUAUUGGACAAUGGGGGCAACCCUGAUCCAGCAAUGCCGCGUGUGUGAAGAAGGCCUGAGGGUUGUAAAGCACUUUCAGUGGGGAGGAGGCUGCUUAGGUUAAGAGCUAGAGUAGUGGACGUUACCCACAGAAGAAGCACCGGCUAACUCCGUGCCAGCAGCCGCGGUAAUACGGAGGGUGCGAGCGUUAAUCGGAAUUACUGGGCGUAAAGGGUGCGUAGGUGGUUAAUUAAGUUAUCUGUGAAAUCCCUGGGCUCAACCUGGGCAGGUCAGAUAAUACUGUUUAACUCGAGUAUGGGAGAGGGUAGUGGAAUUUCCGGUGUAGCGGUGAAAUGCGUAGAGAUCGGAAGGAACACCAGUGGCGAAGGCGGCUACCUGGCCUAAUACUGACACUGAGGCACGAAAGCGUGGGGAGCAAACAGGAUUAGAUACCCUGGUAGUCCACGCCGUAAACGAUGUCAACUAGCUGUUGGUUAUAUGAAUAUAAUUAGUGGCGC